rnacentral:ribozyme from 1 species
CUCUAUCAAUAAAUACAACCUCAUCGUGGUGAUAGAGUCUAGUAACAUGUUAAAAACAAAAAUCUUCCUGGUUUGCAUGUGAAGCUAAUGUAUU